GAUGAACGCUAGCUACAGGCUUAACACAUGCAAGUCGAGGGGAAACGGCAUUAAGUGCUUGCACUUUUUGGACGUCGACCGGCGCACGGGUGAGUAACGCGUAUCCAACCUUCCCAUGACUAAGGGAUAACCUGCCGAAAGGCAGACUAAUACCUUAUGGUCUUCACUGACGGCAUCAGAUGUGAAGUAAAGAUUUAUCGGUUAUGGAUAGGGAUGCGUCUGAUUAGUUAGUUGGCGGGGUAACGGCCCACCAAGGCAACGAUCAGUAGGGGUUCUGAGAGGAAGGUCCCCCACAUUGGAACUGAGACACGGUCCAAACUCCUACGGGAGGCAGCAGUGAGGAAUAUUGGUCAAUGGGCGAGAGCCUGAACCAGCCAAGUAGCGUGCAGGAUGACGGCCCUAUGGGUUGUAAACUGCUUUUGUAUGGGGAUAAAGUCAAUCACGUGUGAUUGUUUGCAGGUACCAUACGAAUAAGGACCGGCUAAUUCCGUGCCAGCAGCCGCGGUAAUACGGAAGGUCCGGGCGUUAUCCGGAUUUAUUGGGUUUAAAGGGAGCGUAGGCUGGAGAUUAAGUGUGUUGUGAAAUGUAGACGCUCAACGUCUGACUUGCAGCGCAUACUGGUUUCCUUGAGUACGCACAACGUUGGCGGAAUUCGUCGUGUAGCGGUGAAAUGCUUAGAUAUGACGAAGAACUCCGAUUGCGAAGGCAGCUGACGGGAGCGCAACUGACGCUGAAGCUCGAAGGUGCGGGUAUCGAACAGG
rnacentral:rRNA from 1 species